rnacentral:rRNA from 1 species
GCACAAGCAGCGGAGCGUGUGGUUUAAUUCGAUGCUACACGAAGAAUCUUACCAGGGUUUGACAUACAAGUAGUAGGGAAAGGAAACUGGACCGACCCUUCGGGGAGCUUGUACAGGUGCUGCAUGGCUGUCGUCAGCUCGUGUCGUGAGAUGUUCGGUUAAGUCCGCUAACGAGCGCAACCCUCGCUGUGUGUUACAAGUGUCACACGGAACUGCCGGUCAUAAACCGGAGGAAGGUGGGGAUGACGUCAAGUCAGCAUGGCCUUUAUAUCCUGGGCUACACACACGCUACAAUGGGAAGGGACAAUAGGUUGCGAAGCCGCGAGGCGGAGCCAAUCCAGCAAAACUUCCCUCAGUUCAGACUGCAGGCUGCAACUCGCCUGCAUGAAGUUGGAGUUGCUAGUAAACGCAGGUCAGCCAUACUGCGUUGAAUACGUUCCCGGGGCUU